rfam:Anaerostipes hadrus draft genome.
AUAAUGAUACUUCUGAUAUAGAUCAGUCCAUAGAGAUGGUGAGAUUCCAAUGC